GGGGCCCGGCGCCCGCGCGUGCGUCACGGGAGGCAAAGUUCCAAGAAACUUGGCUGAGGGCUCGGAGUCCCGCAGGGGCGGGGCGGGAAUGCCGCGGGGCGGGGGCCGGGGCCACGGGCGGCACGGGGGCGUGGGGAUCGGGGCUUCCGGGAGCAGGAGGUCACAGGGCCGUGGGGUUCCUGAGGCAUGGGGGUGUGGGUCCCGGGGGUGUAGGGAUCGGGGUUCCUCGGGGAAUGAGGUCCCAGGGAUAUGGGGUCCCGGCAGCGUGGGGCUCUGGGGUCCCAAAGACAGUGACAUUUGCCUGCAGCCGUUUCCUCUGACAGGCACCUGUCAGCUUUGGGCUACAGAAGAGUGAGGAGAUGGUCAUAGCUUGGAGUGGGCCCAGCACCAGCGCUGCCCUUAGGCACCUGCAGUUCCUUGGCCCUGAAAUGCAUGUAUAUAGAGAGAAUUACGUCCAGCGUUUGUCAGCACAAUUCGUCAUCUGAGGAUCCCCGCAGAUCCACUACAGCUCCUGGCGUCGUGCAUGUCAGCCACGGCACAGAAAUCCUCUUUCACUGCUUGUUUCCGUUCCAGGUGAAAACCCAUUAAAGGCAGCCGCUUCACCACUCCCUGCUACCACUAGGGCACUGACCUGUACAUCACUGACCUUCAGUUUAAUCUCUCUGUGCCACCAGCAUCCCACCUGCACAUGGGAUACAGUAAUGCUGUUUCAACCAUCCUAUUUCAGCUGGAGCUCAGGAGCCUGCCAUACCCAGGAACUGAGGACUUAACCAGGAAUCAGCUGAUCAGGCCACCUUCCUCUCCUGCUGUCCUUUUUUAGCAAUCUCACUUUACCUGCUCUUUUUUUGCCUGCCAGCAGCUCAAGACAGCUGUGUCUUACACUGAACUCUUGCUUGAAGUCUUUGAAUUUUCCACAACCUUCAGUCACAGAUCUGAGUGUGCUGAUAACUGAUUACAGCUUCCAAGGACUCUUCCAUGCAGUGUUCUCUGUCCACUGUGAAACAGAGAGGUAUGACAGAGAAGGAAAUCAAAGGGAGUUUCAGUCACUGUGCUUUUAGAGAGACAUGGUGGUCUUGCCUCAGCACCAGCCCAGUGAUGUCCAUCCCUGUGGAUUUUAGCCAGCAUACAAAGCACAAUGUAUGAGAGAUCCCUGAGUGAGAGCUGUUCUGCAAGGACCCAUGGAGAUCACAAAUCCUGUCGUGUUCAGGCAGGAUUGCAAACACUGAGUUACAGAAGGGCUGGCACUGCAGAAAGCUGAGAUAAGAGCCCUACCCCUUCCUUGGUGCGGUGAGCACGAUAUGAAGGAUGAAGGGGAACUCAAGGCACAACCACAAGGACUUAGUGGGGUCUUUCCAGCAGUUAUCAAAAAUAAAUAUGUCUCAUCUGUUUCCUGUCAUGAAAAGGAGGAGCAUGAGAGCCAUGGAGUGAAAUGCUCAGUGAUGCUGGGGGCAAUCACAGCCUCAGCCACUGCGAUACCUGCCCACACCCACAGCUCUGGCAAUAAACUGCUGACUACAACGAAUAUUAUAAAAAUUCCUCCCUGGAUGCCAGAGACACCUUGAUGGUUUUGCAUACUCGCUGGCUAAUGACAUAUUUCCUCUUUGGGCUGACUCAUGAGCUGCUUCUCCUUGUUGCUAUGAAAGUUGGAAGCACUUCAACGCUGUGUGCUGCAAGUACAUUUCACGAAAAGAAAGGAAAAUCUCAGUAUUAUUUCUGGAUUCACAGAUUUGACCCUUUCACUUUUGCAGUUGAUGCUGUCAAGAUUCCCCUUUGUACAUGUGUGAUCGGUUCAUGCCAGGUUUGGCUGCGUGCCUUUCCAGGGGAGAGCCUCUGUGACCAGGACAAGGUAGUUCAGCACUCGGCACAGCAACGCAGACAGGAUCAGAAGCUGGGGUGGGGAUGGCUCCUGCUCCACUAAGGCAUGUGAUCUAUGAGAAAUACCUUGGGAAGACAUUGUCAGAGGUGUACCUUUUUUCUGGAGAGGAGCAAGCAGCUGCCUCUCAGCUGGACUUCUCUUCCCCAUUGCUGGGAUUACCAGGAUAGCAGCAAGACAGCAAGCCACAUGGAGGACUCCCAGGGAGGCAGGAGACCACCUGGCUGAGGGACUUUGCUGUGCUCAGAGCCCAGGCACCAGCGUGUCUCCAUGGAAGGCUGCCUGACAUGUUCCAAAGGUGGGACACCUCUCUCUGGGCAAUCUUUUCUGCUCCCACCCUGGACUGCAGUGACAUGGGCCACUGGAAAGCUGCCACCAUGGAGGGGCUGGCACAGAGGAGUUUUCCUGCUGAACCCGGGUGAUGUUUCUCAUAGUUAGUUACUCUUGACAGAGCAGUGUCCUUUGAAGGUAAUGCCACAGUACUGCAUCAUGAGCUCCUGGGGAGAACUUCUUCCCUCAGUCAAUUAAAAAAAAAAAAAAAAAAAAAAAAAAAAAGGUUGAUUUAAACACUGAAAUGCAAGGGAUUGUGUUCCUUGCAAAACUCUUACAAUGGAUAUCUACUGUUAAACCUCAAUCCUUUUCCCACUAGGUCUUGUAACAAAGAGCUCUCCGAAGAGAUUGCAUUUCUUGUUCAAAAUCUGCGAGAAGAGCUAUGUUAUUUGACUCCCAAACACCCUAAAAAUGAUGGCAGCUGUCCCCUGCAAUUCCAUCUCCCUUCACAGAUUAGAACUGCUCACUGGCUGCCCCAGAGACAAGUGAAAUGGAAGUUUAUAAAAAGAGAGUGGUAUAUUCCCAGUUUAAGUGCUGUGCUAACUGCAAUCAUCCCUACGAUUAAGUGGCUCCCUAAAAAGAAAUAUUUCUUCCCCAUAUGUUUUCUUGAGGAGUGAUGAAUCUCUUCACACAGUGUGUUUCUCAUCAGAUACAGAUGAGAUUUACUUAAACACAGAACUGAGUGAAGCAAACCCAUCAGCUAUCUGAAGCUUUCUACUCUGAUUUUGCUGCAUGCCUCUUCCUCAGGGAGGGGAAGGUGACUGACCCACCUCACUCAAGGUUUGUUUCAUGGGAGAAGGCACCAACUGUGGAGAGGUUAAUACCACCAGAGCCUGUCUCACCUCUUCUCACUGCUGUCAUUUCCCAUUUUCUCCUCCUGAGCCCUUCUCCAGGGCAGAUCAGAGGUUCAGGAUGGGGGACAGAGAGGGGCUGCCUGCUCUGGGUGCUGCUGCCAAGGGUGCCCAACCCUGGAG